UCUGCUUCACUUCCAUUGGCUGUAAGCACUCCUCUCCCUCUGCCCCUGGCCCUUGUCCGGGGACCUUUGCCUUUGGUUUAUGGCUCUCCUUUGAGCAGUGUCUGUGUCUCGCACCCUUGACAACAGUCUCCUCUCCUCCAGUCGUUCUGAAGGUUUGGAUCUCAAAUAGAGUUUAAAAAAAAAAGAAAAGAAAAAAAAAUAAGAAAAAAAAAAUUACUUCUCCAGCUCUCUGAUCAUCCCUUGGUGCUUGGACAUUGUCCUGCCCCUUCAUCUGCCAGUUCUUCUUCAGAAGAAGCGUAUUAAAAGGCCCCAAAAUCACGAGGCCCAGAGGCCCUGAUGCUGGCAGUUUUAUGGAGAUAGCAACAGAAAGAACAUCCCGUCAUCACAGCAGCCUGGAGGUGGAGCACUGGAAAAAAGGAGGCUGCCCAGAAAUAUCUUUGCAGGAAGGGAAGAAAGGAAGAGAUUCUCCCAAGGAAACCAACCAACCUUAGAAAAAAUGAAGCCCUCGGUAAAGGAAAAAAGAAAAAGGGAAUCACGUUUUAUAUUGUCUUUUUAAUUAACCCAUCUAAUAUUGCCUGAGUAUGCAGGAGCAGAGAAACGAGGAAGUAGCAGAGAUUACGGUAAGGGUUUGCUGUAUCCCAUGUCCUAAGUGUAAAUAAUGUUCCUGUUAAUUUAAAACCAAGGCUGACUGUCUUUACGACUUCAUUGCACUCACAUUAGCUCUACCUUUAGGCAGUGUCAUGGGUGCAAAUAGAUUGGGUUGAAAACUUCCCUAGAGCCACUUUAAAGUGACAUCUAAUCUUUCCCUUUAGUGGUGUUAAUUCAACUUCACAAGAGCAUUUGAAGCACCAUUAGGCAGAGAAAUGGACCUUCUCUCCUGCUGGUGCCCUUAUCCAAAUCACAACAUUCCCCCCCAAAAAUCUGUUUCAUAUCAGGCCAACUGUCGGUGGCUCCAGAGAGCAGCUGAAGGAGACGUGGGCUUCCUCUUUAUGAGAGUUAAAUACAUAAAGGAUUUGUGUUUCGUGUUUCUUGCUGCCUGCUGGAAGUCUCUAAGAGUCUUGGGAACCUCCUGGCUCACACAAUGCAGUGGGAAUGGGGACAGAGAAAGACUUGGGGAUGCCACCAUGGAGACAGAGGAUUCCCCACAAACCAGACUGCCUGCCAGGGUAUGAUGGCAUGCUGUUGGGAUGGAUUUUAACCAAGGAAAAGUGGAAAAUGAAGUGCUGGGAAGGAAGCCCCAUGAGCUUUGUGGUAGGCCACAGUCAUGUCCUUACAUCUGUCUGGCAUUCCACAAAUGGGCAGAGAGGUUGAGCAAAGGCCACAAGUGUUACUGCUCACCAGUGGGAAGGGUGUUGGCCAUUAAAUAGAAAUGUGUUACAAAAGCUGUGCGGCCCAGAGGCACUGUGGUGCUGCAGCUGGAGCAAGAUUUCUCAUCUGUGCUGGCUGAGGGCAGCACUCUGCCCCAUCUCCUGCCUCCAGCACGGCUCACAGCAGAGAGAUAGGGAAAAGACAUGCAUGCAGUGCUAGGGGUGAUGGCUCAGCCCCUGAUGGUGAGCAAGGUAAGAAACUUUCUGACCUGGUGGCUUUGUAUGGAUUGCUGCUGACGGUCAAAGGUGGAUGUGCCCUUUAGUAACCUGUUGGAUUCCCUUCAGCCUCCUGUUGACAUCUUUGACUUCUGCAGCCUAUGAUGGCAGCAAGUUCAAGGUCACAUUCUAUGAGAAAAACUCUGAAGCAGUGACUAAAUAUUCUCCUGAACCCUUCCCUUCUCCUUCCAGGAUGAGGCAGACCUCUGUCACCUUCAGCCUUGGCCAUCUCUUGGUCCUGGCCAGUUUAGUCCCCAGCACGUGGGAUGGUCACACUCAUUUUGGGUGGAGAAAGUAUUACGUUACAGAACAGCCUGCUCAAGGAGAAGCAAAGCAUCCCAAGGUCUGGCAGGUGCAGGAGUUGAGAGCAUGGAGGGAAGGUCUGCAAGGCUGUGGGAUGCGACUUUCUCCUCUCAUCCAGGAGGGGGCAAUCCGUGGCUGGAACUGAAGCGAAAGGAGCGCCGGAUAAAGAGAUUUUUCUUCUUUCACUGCUCCUUCCAAGGAAAAGCUCAAAUUACUCUGAUGGAGGAAGGCUUUAAAAUGGAAACACAGAUGGAGGAAUUUAAAGGGACUUCAAGGGAGUUCGGGGUAGCCCGUUUUUUCCUGACGUGGUGGCAUUAAUUCUUACAAACAAUUUCUCCCAAUUAAAAGGAAAAAAGAGAGUUACACUGGAUUUUCUUUUGAAUCAGUUGGAACUUUGAGCUGGCUGAGACAAUCAUCAGCUUAUCUCACCAUUUAUUUUCAUUAAGCUUGCAUUUAACACAUCUUCUUUGGCCUUCCUUCCUUCCAAAGCCCCAGACAGAAGAUGCAGCUGCAUGUUGGGUACAACAAGCAGAUCUAUGCAUACAGCCAUUCUCUUAGCCUAACAUGCCUUUGAUUUUUGCCACACAGACUUUUAUUUAUACAAUGAAUUCUCAUAUAGCAAACACACUCUUGACUCCUCGACCUUUGGAGAAGGGCUGGUGAGCAACACGUGGGCAAAGGUUUGUUCCAAGGUAUAUCCUAUAACACUGGGUGAGAUAGAAUAGCUCAGCCUCCUCUCUGCCUUAGUUUCCCCAUCUGAAAGUAAAAGCAAGAAAUAAUGGAACUGCAACGUAUUGCAAAAAUUGCACGUUCACAAACCAUGAAUUGAAGAGAUGGGGAGAGAGUCUCAAGAUGCUUCUGAGUAAAAAAUCAUUCACUGGAGGACAACUCUUGGACAUUUCAGGGGCUUCCCAGCUGCAUUCUGGGGGAAGGUUUGGAAAACCUAACGUAUAGUGUUGGAACAGAGCAGGCAUCCCACCGGGCCACUUCGUCCUGGUGAGGGCGUAUGGCCAGGAAAGCAAUGAGAGCUCAGAGAAAGAAUAUCUGGAAAAUAAAUGAGCAAAACCUUGCUCUGUCUCUUGCUAACUGUUAACAAUACAAAGAAAGAAGGAAUGAGGGGGGAAAAGGAAAAAAAAAAAAGCAACACAAACCACUCAAGUCUGGGAGAAAUGGAAUGCGGAGCUUUUUUGGCACAAACCGGGCAGGAGAAGUUUCCAGAAGAAACAACAUGAGUGAGAGGAUUAUUGCAAAAGGCCAGAGUGUCAAAUCUGUGCUGGGAGUUAAAAGGAGCCCAUAAAAUCCACUCAGCAGAAAUGGAGCCAGAGCAAGGUCUGGAGUUAACUCCUUAAAGUCUACAAAGCAGUGAUAACCAUCAGGAGUGACUUCCUUUCUAUAAGGUGCAGAGUCUGGGCAAAGUCCCCUCUCAGCCACCACUCAGAGAGCUAUAAAGAGGGAAAAGGCAAAUCAAGCAGGUUGAGGAUUAUUUUAUG